rnacentral:rRNA from 1 species
UACGGGGGGAGCAAGCGUUGUUCGGAUUUACUGGGCGUAAAGGGCGCGUAGGCGGCCACCGCAAGUCGACUGUGAAAUCUCCGGGCUUAAUCCGGAAAGGUCAGCCGAUACUGCGGGGCUAGAGUGCAGAAGGGGCAACUGGAAUUCUCGGUGUAGCGGUGAAAUGCGUAGAUAUCGAGAGGAACACCUGCGGCGAAGGCGGGUUGCUGGGCUGACACUGACGCUGAGGCGCGAAAGCUAGGGGAGCGAACGGG